UUCACAUGUUAUAGAUAAAUUCACCAAUUUUCACGUCCACGUGAUAAGUAAAGAAAGAGAGUUACAAAAAUGGAGGCUUGCACUGCAUUCAUUCCCUAUCAACCUGUCUGCUAACUACUAUAGAAAAAUUAGAGGAGAAAAAAGAAGAUAUUCUCCUAAAAGUGCUUACCAGGAACAAAUAAGGAUAUGCUGAUGGGUGACGUAAAGUUAAGCCCCACCAGCCAUGUCCAUAUCUGUAACUCCUACCAUUCCCUUGAAAACAACACGUAAUUUCCUAGAACAUGACUGCUUUUUAUCUCCUUUUCCUGCUGCACCAGUAACAUGAACAAUGUCCCUUGGAGUUUUACCCAUAAGCUCAAACAAUGGUAAAUCCAAAUUAGACCGGGUCAUUUCUUCCAGUAUCGGAGGUGCUUGCAUGUAUAGAUUCUUCCCUCGAUACGUCACACUUACUCUAAUUAGUAGUAGCUUAGGGUGAUCUUCAAGGAGAUCAAUGAACUUUUUAAGAGUAACUGAAGCUUCUAGCUCAAUAAGAACACCAGGACCACAAACAAGACAAUCUUUGUCCCUCACAAACUCAGUCACUUUGGUGUGCAGACCUUCAACUCCAUUGUACGUUAAGUAAUUCGUUAAUGUUUUGCUACAUCCAGAAACAACCUUCAAGGUCUCCAGAGCACAGGCAGCAGAAAUUAUAGCAUUGGUGGAUGCUAUAGCAGGUAUGAUAUUUUUAACCACACCCUGAGUCAAGGAAUAGGUAACUCCUGGGAUUCCAAAGAGCUCUGCUCUCUUAACAGCCUCUGAAUACACCCAUUGCAUGUGUUCAGGAUCAUCUGGAUCAAAUGUUUUGCCACUAUGAGCCUCAUCCCAUUUGAUUAAAUGUGCAUACUCAAUGCAGUGUGCAGCAGUUCUAGGAGUUUCAGCAAGAGUACACAAAGGAAACUUCACUUGUGGGGGAAAGAGCCAUAUUGUACACUCAAAGCAAGGGGUUACACCUGGCAUUAUAAUCCUUGCAUGGCCCUUGAAUCCUUCAGUCCCACCAUCAACCAUAGGCUUAAUUGACUCUUCCUGUGGGUUGUCAUCAGAAUCGUACUCUAGAAAGCUGCAAGCAACAGAAUUUAUAUAGCUUCGAGCCUCAAUAGAAUCAAGACCAAGAACAAUAAUAUGGAAGUCAUUGUAGAAGCUUAUAGGUUUGUCCUCAAUCCGACAGAAAUGUGACUUGAUAUCUACACCACUGACUCUCUCCAUCACUCUUUUUGCAGCAACUUCCGCCUUUGGUUUUCCCACAUCUCCAAGUCUGAACAGAAAUUGGCGAUUAAGAUUGGUAACUUCAAUCCGGUCCAUAUCAAUAACCUCAAGGUUUCGAAACCCUGAAAAAGCCAAAUCCUUAAGCAAUUCGCAACCUAAUCCACCAGCACCUAUCACCAACACUCUUACGCACUCCUUUAUAUCAUCUCUCAACUGAGCGCCGGCCUCGAAGGUCGGUCCGACGAGAUUACCGGGCCGGAGAAGGAGCUUGUCGAGGUCCCUUGAUCUGCUUUGCGGUAUUGAAUCCGCCAUUGAUGAGUUCGACCUACUAGCUUCGACUUUACGCAGGUUUGUGCUCUUAGCCUUCGCACUUCACCUUGUUGCAAG
rnacentral:misc_RNA from 1 species